ACGAAGGACCCCGUAUCAUCUGAGACUCAGCUGACUUCAAAGUAUAUGUCUGAAGGCUGAGAUAUUAUCCUCAUGGAACCGGAAUUGAAAAGUUGCUAUAUUAAUGCUGCAAGGCACAUAUUUGUUGAUCCCCAGUCUUGGGAAUUCUUCAGGCGAAAUUCCAAACUGGCUCUACAGACAGAGGGAAGGGAGAGACCAAAGGAAGAGGCUCACCAUUUCAGAUUGGUUUUUGAUGCAUCUUCUGUGCAAAAUGUGGUUCCUCUCAGUGGUCUUGAUCAAGUAACCAGGAGCU